rnacentral:rRNA from 1 species
CCGAAAGGAAUUCGGUCUGCGACGGAUCAUUCAAGUUUCUGACCUAUGCAGCUUUCGACGGUACUGUAUUGGACUACCGUGGCAGUGACGGGUAACGGGGAAUUAGGGUUCGAUUCCGGAGAGGGAGCCUGAGAAACGGCUACCACAUCUAAGGAAGGCAGCAGGCGCGCAAAUUACCCAAUCCUGAUUCAGGGAGGUAGUGACAAGAAAUAACAACACUGGAAAUUUCAUUUCUAGUGAUUGGAAUGAUAGGAAUCCAAACCCCUUUCAGAGUAACAAUUGGAGGGCAAGUCUGGUGCCAGCAGCCGCGGUAAUUCCAGCUCCAAUAGCGUAUAUUAAAGUUGUUGCAGUUAAAAAGCUCGUAGUUGGAUUUCUGCUGGAAGCAGCCAGUCCGCCCUCAGGGGUGUGCACUUGGUGAAUUCUAGCAUCCUUCUGGAUUUCUCCACACUUCAUUGUGUGGAGUUUUUUCCAGGACUUUUACUUUGAGAAAAUUAGAGUGUUUCAAGCAGGCUUGUCGCCUUGAAUACUGCAGCAUGGAAUAAUAAGAUAGGAUUUCGGCCCUAUUUUGUUGGUUUCUAGGACUGAAGUAAUGAUUAAUAGGGACGGUUGGGGGCAUUCGUAUUUAACUGUCAGAGGUGAAAUUCUUAGAUUUGUUAAAGACGAACUACUGCGAAAGCAUUUGCCAAAGAUGUUUUCAUUAAUCAAGAACGAAAGUUAGGGGCUCGAAGACGAUCAGAUACCGUCGUAGUCUUAACCAUAAACUAUGCCGACUAGAGAUAGGAAAACGUCAUGCUUGACUUCUCCUGCACCUUAUGAGAAAUCA